ACCUGUCGCGGGCGACGUGAGUGUGCGCCCGCGCCAUCAGAACAAACACCGUGCCACGGGAACAUCGGGGCACUUCAGGGCGUU
rnacentral:sRNA from 1 species